GGAGGGUUCGAUUCUGGCUCAGGAUGAACGCUGGCGGCGUGCCUAAUACAUGCAAGUCGAGCGAACAGACAAGGAGCUUGCUCCUUUGACGUUAGCGGCGGACGGGUGAGUAACACGUGGGUAACCUGCCCAAGAGAUCGGGAUAACACCUGGAAACAGAUGCUAAUACCGGAUAACAACAGAUGAUGCCUAUCAACUGUUUAAAAGAUGGUUCUGCUAUCACUCUUGGAUGGACCUGCGGUGCAUUAG
rnacentral:rRNA from 1 species